UAAGCGGAGGAAAAGAAACUAACAAGGAUUCCCCUAGUAACUGCGAGUGAAGCGGGAAAAGCUCAAAUUUAAAAUCUGGCGGUCUUAGGCCGUCCGAGUUGUAAUUUAGAGAAGCGUCUUCCGCGCCGGACCGUGCACAAGUCUCCUGGAAUGGAGCGUCAUAGAGGGUGAGAAUCCCGUCUUUGGCACGGAUGCCUGGUGCUUCUGUGAUGCGCUCUCGAAGAGUCGAGUUGUUUGGGAAUGCAGCUCAAAAUGGGUGGUGAACUCCAUCUAAAGCUAAAUAUUGGCGAGAGACCGAUAGCGAACAAGUACCGUGGGGGAAAGAUGAAAAGCACUUUGGAAAGAGAGUGAAACAGUACGUGAAAUUGUUGAAAGGGAAACGCUUGAAGUCAGUCGCGUCGACCGAGACUCAGCCUUGCCUCGGCUUGGUGUACUUCUCGGCCCGACGGGUCAGCGUCAAUUUUGCCCCUCGGAUAAUGGCAAGGGAAAGGUGGCACCUUUACGGGUGUGUUAUAGUCUCCUGUCGCAUGCGAGGGGUGGGAUUGAGGAACUCAGCGCGCACCUUGGUGUCGGGGCUUCGGCCCACGUCACGCGCUUAGGAUGCUGGCGUAAUGGCUUUAAACGACC
rnacentral:rRNA from 1 species